rnacentral:rRNA from 1 species
UACAGAGACUGCGAGCGUUAUUCGGAUUCACUGGGCGUAAAGGGUGCGCAGGCGGCCGAGUGUGUGAGGCGUGAAAGCCCGGGGCUUAACCCCGGAAUUAGCACCUCAAACUACACGGCUAGAGCAUUGGAGAGGGUAGCAGAAUUCAUGGUGUAGCAGUGAAAUGCGUAGAUAUCAUGAGGAAUACCAGAGGCGAAGGCGGCUACCUGGACAAUUGCUGACGCUCAGGCACGAAAGCGUGGGGAGCAAAAGGG